CAAUAGCGUAUAUUAAAGUUGUUGCAGUUAAAAAGCUCGUAGUUGGACUUCUGGUGGGAGCGAUCGGUCUGGCGCUUAGCGCGAGUACUUGCAUCGUCUCCGGCCAUCCUUGGGGAGAGUCUGUCUGGCAUUAAGUUGUCGGGCAGAGGAUCCUCAUCGUUUACUGUGAAAAAAUUAGAGUGUUCAAAGCAGGCUUAUGCCGUUGAAUAUAUUAGCAUGGAAUAAUAAGAUAGGACUUUGGUACUAUUUUGUUGGUUUGCGCACCAAAGUAAUGAUUAAUAGGGACAGUUGGGGGUAUUCGUAUUCCGUUGUCAGAGGUGAAAUUCUUGGAUUUACGGAAGACGAACUACUGCGAAAGCAUUUACCAAGGAUGUUUUCAUUAA
rnacentral:rRNA from 1 species